CUAGUCUUUAGCUUCAAUAUCUUUAAGUUCAACUGUGUAAAACACAACUGAAUUUUCUGUAGAUUUUCUGGUCUUCUUUGGGUUCUGACUGUCCUUGAUAAAACAUUUAGAGAUAAAUCAGAAAAAAAAACCAAAAAACAACAAACUUUUCUGCAGAGCAGAUCUUCAUGCAAAUUGUCACAUGGACAAGGAGGCUGACUAUAAAUCUGGGCACUGACUGUGUUGUAGGGUGUCUGUCUGUGUGUUGGUGUGCAAGUGUACACAAGAUUGCAUUAUUACACAGAACAUACUAUUAAACUGAGGCCAAAAUGUCCAAGAUCUCCUGUCUGAUAUGUCAUACCUUUGUAUUUAAUUAGUGAACACAUGUAGGAAUAAAUGAGGAUAGAAGUCAGGCUGGAAUUAUCAUUAAAAUGAAAAAUUUAAAAAGAGAGUAGUUCUUUCAGUUCUUUCAAUGAUUUCACAGGAAAGUAUUAGAAAUCUAAACUACGCAGUACACAGUACCAAGCUAUCCCCAAAUCCAUUAGCAGUUCCAUUUUAAGGUCUGCAACUUGAGGUUCUCUAAACACUUUGUAGAAGUGGUGUGGGGUUUUUACAUUUCCCAUGUGUAACAUAUCUUAGAAAAUGUGUUUUCUAAAAAAACCUGAGUUUGCUUUUCUCUUUGUGACUUAUCUUUAGUCAACCUUUUUUGCUAUGUGUGUAAUUUUUUUUUCAACUGGAUCUUUUUGGGAAAUUGGGUAAUCAAAACUACAUAAUGUAUUAAAAUAUGGGGAAAGUAUUUAUGCUGGUAAUGUAACAUGUGGUAUGUAACACUGUUUUCUUCUUGUUUCCUUUUGCAGAACUCUUCAUACUCGCUUUUUGAACACCUCAGACAGUUUUUAAGGUGAAAUCAAGAAAGCCAGCAAGGAUGGCGUGGGCAGACAAGUCCAAAAGUUGCUGAAGGCCUAAGGGCAGAAAAAGGAGAUGAAGCACAAGAUUCGGCACAUCAAACUCAGUGUCAGCUCUGUGGGGACAGCAAGCACACACCUGCAACCAUGAGUGCUCUCAACCUCCCUGUGGCUGAGCCAGCAGGACAUUGUGCCUAUCCAUCCCGACUGAUGCCUGCUCUGCAUCUCCAUCACUGCAUCUCCGUCCCUUCCUUGGUCAUUUGCUAAGUCUGAGCUGCUCCCUUUCCAUCCAAAGAGCUCACUUUUACCUGACAGGGUUUGGUGGCUUGCAGUGACUCCUGGGAGUUAGGGUGAAAUCAUAUGAAUUUUUACUGGCAGGAAGGAAAAGAUGAGUAGGCUAAGGAGGGUGGGGAGUAAUCUCUUAGAGUUGUAACUGAGAGAGGAAGAUAAAUCAGACUUUGGACUGUAGAUGUCAGGGAGCAAACCAGGGCUCUUAAUUCCUGCACAUGGGCAUGCAUCAAAUAUGAGUCCUACCCAUCUUCACAUGUGGCUUUCCCACUGAAUCUGGAAGGAGGGAAGGAAUCAGUGAAAGGUGAAUGCUCUUGGCAAACUACUUCAUUAAAAGUGAAUACCUCCACUCCCCUGUCUUACAGAAACUGGUGUAAGCCUGGAAGGGUACUAUGAAAGCUCCCAUUCAGUGGAAUUUUCCACUUGGCUAAUAUACAUAUGCAUGCUGUGUGCUGCUGGGAUGCUGGCAGGGUGGAUGCAGGGACUACAGAAUGAGUGGCUUCUUGGUGCUUCAAGUACAGGAAAAAUAUAAGAGGAUAAUAAUAAGAAAUGGCUUAUAAAAGCCAGCUCUUGAAAGUACUAUAAAAU
rnacentral:lncRNA from 1 species